AUUGAACGCUGGCGGCAGGCCUAACACAUGCAAGUCGAACGAGUGGAGGACGGGUGAGUAAUGUCUGGGAAACUGCCUGAUGGAGGGGGAUAACUACUGGAAACGGUAGCUAAUACCGCAUACCACCAGAUGGUCCCAAAUGGGAUUAGCUAGUUGGUGGGGUAACGGCUCACCAGGGAGACGAUCCCUAGCUGGUCUGAGGGGAUGACCAGCCACCCGGGAACGGAGACACGGUCCAGAUUCUUACGGGAGGCAGCAGAGGGUAAUAUUGGACAAGGGGGGCAAGCCUGAUUCAGCCAUGCCGCGUGUAUGAAGAAGGCCUUCGGGUUGUAAAGUCCUUUCGGCAGGGAGGCGUUACCUGCAGAAGAAGCACCGGCUAACUCCGUGCCAGCAGCCGCGGUAAUUC
rnacentral:rRNA from 1 species